UACGAGGGGGGCGAGCGUUGUUCGGAAUUAUUGGGCGUAAAGGGUGCGUAGGCGGUUCUGUUAGUCUCGCGUUAAAUUCUUCGGCUUAACCGGGGGCAUGCGCGGGAAACGGCAGGACUAGAAGGUGCGAGGGGUCUCUGGAACUCAUGGUGUAGCGGUGAAAUGCGUUGAUAUCAUGGGGAACACCGAAAGCGAAGGCAGGAGACUGGAGCAUUCUUGACGCUGAAGCACGAAAGCGUGGGUCGCGAAUGGG
rnacentral:rRNA from 1 species